rnacentral:lncRNA from 1 species
GCAGUCGGUCAGGGUCUGUUCAGUGCUAGCUUUGUACGUGCGUGCAUGAGACAUCCAUCUUGCCUUCGUCUCCAUUGUUGCAUGUCGCGGGAAGCCAGUCAGCGUUUGGUACUGGGCCAAUAUGCGCUAGCUAGGGUUGAGAUUGCCAAGGGUUGGGUUCGACAUAUUUCUUUGGUUUCGCCAUAAGCAAGUCAUCUCUUCCGGCCCGUACAAACUUGGCUCCUGACCUCGUGUGCACCUUACUUGCCUCUAGCUACGCAAGUCAAGCAUGGCCUAGAGCUCGAGGUCAAGCUAGCAAUAUGACCACGAACUAUGCAUGAAUGACACAAAGUAGUAUACCAUUUAAUACAUUGCAGUAUCAUAAUAUGAUACCACAUCCUAUCUUUUUUCAUUUAAUGAUAUGCCACAUCACCAAAUAAGUCUAAUUGACAUGCAUGAUACUGCUUAUGAUACUCCCAUUACGAACCAGCCUAACGGGC